rnacentral:rRNA from 1 species
UACGUAGGGUCCGAGCGUUGUCCGGAAUUACUGGGCGUAAAGAGCUCGUAGGUGGUUUGUCACGUCGUCUGUGAAAUUCCGGGGCUUAACCUCGGGCGUGCAGGCGAUACGGGCAAUACUUGAGUGCUGUAGGGGAGACUGGAAUUCCUGGUGUAGCGGUGAAAUGCGCAGAUAUCAGGAGGAACACCAAUGGCGAAGGCAGGUCUCUGGGCAGUUACUGACGCUGAGGAGCGAAAGCAUGGGUAGCGAACAGGAUUAGAUA